ACCAGACUCCUACGGGAGGCAGCAGUGAGGAAUAUUGGUCAAUGGGCGCGAGCCUGAACCAGCCAAGUCGCGUGAGGGAUGACGGUCCUACGGAUUGUAAACCUCUUUUGCCGGGGAGCAAGCGUGCGUUCGUGAACGCACGUCGAGAGUACCCGGAGAAAAAGCAUCGGCUAACUCCGUGCCAGCAGCCGCGGUAAUACGGAGGAUGCGAGCGUUAUCCGGAUUUAUUGGGUUUAAAGGGUGCGUAGGCGGGAUGCCAAGUCAGCGGUAAAAAUGCGGGGCUCAACGCCGUCGAGCCGUUGAAACUGGCGGGCUGGAGUUGGAGAGAAGUACGCGGAAUGCGCGGUGUAGCGGUGAAAUGCUUAGAUAUCGCGCAGAACCCCGAUUGCGAAGGCAGCGUACCGGCUCCACACUGACGCUGAGGCACGAAAGCGUGGGUAUCGAACAGGAUUAGAUACCCGCGUAU
rnacentral:rRNA from 1 species